AACGCGAAGAACCUUACCCGGGUUUGAACGCAGUCGGACGGUCUGGGAAACCAGGCUUCUAGGAAUAGCCGUCUGCGAGGUGCUGCAUGGUUGUCGUCAGCUCGUGCCGUGAGGUGUCGGCUUAAGUGCCAUAACGAGCGCAACCCUUGCCGCCAGUUGCUAGCAGGUGAAGCUGAGGACUCUGGCGGGACUGCCAGCGUAAGCUGCGAGGAAGGCGGGGAUGACGUCAAAUCAGCACGGCCCUUACAUCCGGGGCGACACACGUGUUACAAUGGCGUGGACAGCGGGAGGCCACCUGGCGACAGGGAGCGGAGCCCGAAACCACGUCUCAGUUCGGAUCGGAGUCUGCAACCCGACUCCGUGAAGCUGGAUUCGCUAGUAAUCGCGCAUCAGCCGUGGCGCGGUGAAUACGUUCCCGGGUCUUGUACACACGC
rnacentral:rRNA from 1 species